ACCAGCCCCAAGAGCUGCAAAAGCCAUCACAGGCACCUACACGAAUGAAAACAAAGGUAGGGCAGGAGAUAUUUCUGUCCUACUAAGGUUAAGGGCAAGGUUGACAGGUACUGCCCAGGUUGACAGGUUAAGCCCAGGUUGACAGGUACUGGGGAGGAGAAGGCUCUGAGGUUUCAGAUGAGCCUCGGUACCCAGGUUAACCAUCUCCUACCCAGAAAAGGCUGGUUGUGUGAAUGAGCCCAUUGUGUUCAGAGACACAUAACAGAGGCAUAUAACCACCUCCCAACUUUUUAAAUGAAAGAAAUAUGAAAAGGUGAAAAAAUGUGCAUCACAUGGGUGCAGGGAGAUCUUGACUGGAAAAACAGCUAUAGAGGAAGGGGUUAAGCAGGUCCUCUUGUCUUUUAUUUGCUCUAACUUGCAACCCCCUGGGUCUAGUAAUGGGAUUCUUAUACACCUCUUCCAUGUAACAUCUCAUUUGGCCCAAACUAAAUAGUGGUCUAUAGCGUUCUCAACACAGGAGACUAUAAUAAUCCCCCUCGAGCGGUAUUCUAUAGAUUAAAUCAGUCCAAGAAUUUAAUCUCCUUUGCAUUAAUUGUUAUUCCUAUUUCUGUCCUGCUCAAUCUUCCUUUGAAUGGAAAGCUGCAGAAGCCAGACCCUGCCUUGUAGCAAACCCAAAAGCUAGAAUCAGAAUGGGAAGUCUCAUUUUUCAAUCUUCAUAUCCACAAUUAAAUCCAAAUUAAAAUGUUCCUGGAAGCUCUCCACACUGGUGAUAGAAAUCUGCCAAACUUAGUUAACAUACAGCAGCUGCACAUAUGAUAUUAUUAUAUAAACUUGAGUUUUAAAAAAACUAUUUUUGUAGUCGUACUAAUGGAAGCAGAGGGUUUCUAGAAUGUAAAAAGAAAUCUGAAAACUGAGGACAAUGUGUCGCUAUUUAGAAAUACAGAGUACCUUUAGAAUUGCAAUGUUAUUUGCACACAGUCUGACACACAUUUGUAGUAUGAUUGGUGACCUUCAUAUAACUAAAUUAGUUCAUUCCUAUGUCUUUUCCACACAUCCUUUCUUUCACACAUUCUUUCAGUGCACAUGGAAGAGGGAAGCACGAUUGCAAGUGCCUUCCCUGCACCAAAUUUCCAUGCAUUCAUUUGAUCUGACAAGGGGUCCGGCAUAACAAUAUGUAUUUAUUUAUUUUGUUUAUAGUGGGCAGCAUGCAGACUACUUUUUCCAUUCAUACAGGACAUUCCAUUCAUGGAACAGGGGUGUGUGAUUUCAUUUAUUUCCUCUUCCCUCAACUGGAAGUAUGUCCCAGCGGAUUAGGAGAUCAGCAAGAAUUGGCCAUCUACUUUUGUGCAAGUAUCUUCCAGCUGGAAAAAAACCCUAAAGUGGGUUACAGCUACCAAUCAAUCAAUCAUAAAACACUAGAAGCAAUUUAAAAUAAAACAAAAGGGCGGGGGGGGGGCAUCAGAAACAACUGAUAACAUAAAGCCACAGCAUAAGCUCAUAAUUACCAUUUGCUGUUAAAAGCCACAUUACCCUGGAAUUAAAAGGCAGGAAUUAAAAAUUAUUUUUGACUUCCUCUCGAAAGUGGGAGAAGAGGAAAUCAAACUGAUCACCCUGGGGAAGAAGCUCUAAAUUUUUGGUGCUGUCACCGAAGAGGCCCUGCUCCUGGUAGCUGCCAAUCAUCCCUCAGCCAGAGGUGGAUGGGAGAUCAGGGCUUCCGUAGCUGAUCCUAAGAGCCAGGCAAAUGUAUAUGAUAACAGGUAGUCUUUAACAUAGAUGUGGGGGUGGGUGUCCAUCUCUGGGUCUGUUUUUGGUCUUGCUUGGUGAGUGCUAGCAGUGGUUCUGAUGAUGGUCUGUGGAGCAGCAGUUUUUCUCUUUCCCAUUUGCUCUCUACAGUGUGGCUGAAGCAGUGCCAGCAGCACAACGCCAGGUACACACAUGUCCACAGGAAUUUUUCUGGGUGGGGGUGCAUAUAAGUACAUAAAUUUAAAAAAUCUGCUAUUAAUCCAACCUUGAAUCAACUGUCCCCUUUGCCCCCCACCACCAUGGAUGCCCACACUCGGGAAGAUGGCAGGGUCUUGGCCUAUAUCCCUUUGCUGACCCCAUGAAAGCUGCCACACUGGUCUCAUGCAGAAGAUAGAGAAGAAAGGCUCCUGCCAUGUCAGGUUUUUGCUACUUCCCUGCAUCCACCCUCCUUACCAAAGCCAAUUAGUUAGUAAGCUGUAUAAAAGCAAGUUCCCAGGUUUAAGCUUUCUGACAAACCCUAAAAUCAUACUCUGACUCAGGACUGUACAACUUUGGCCUUCAGCUGUUGUCAUCCCCAGCCACAAUGGCAAAUAAUCAGGGAUGAUGGGACUUGUAGUCCAGCAACAGCUGAAGAGCCGAAGUUGUGUAGCCCUGCUCUAACUGGAUAAUUAAUAAAGCAAACCCAGAUAAGUUUAUGCAGAUGAAAGAGCAGGGUUGAUUCUCAAGGGCUCUCAUCAAGUUCAAUGAGACAAACUAAAUGGCCUGCAAUUGGCAAGACUGAGUGAAAUACACACACACACACACACACACACGUAUACAUAUACAUAUUCAACAAAAAUACAUUUUCAUCAACCUUUAAAAAAAGGAAACAACGAGGCUAUUCACACACAUGGAGGAAACCGGGCUAAGGGAGACGGUUUCCCCCAUGUGUGUGAACCACUAGCCUGCUGAGUGUUGUGAGUAAGCUUUACACAAGUCAUUUAGAUUGGAAGUUGCAAGACUGGAUGGAGAAUGAAGGUAUUCUGGGUGAUGAACAGGCUGAUUUUAGAACAGAGCAGUCAGCCAUAGACCAUGCCCUGGUAUUACGCCAUCUGACUGAAAAAUAUAGCAACAAACCUAAGUCCUCUUUGUAUGUGGCCUUUGUUGACUUCAAAGCAGCCUUUGAUUCAAUCUCCAGGAUAAGCCUCUGGGGGAAACUCAGAGACACUAAUAUUGAUAGGCGCUUAUUCUUUCUUAUUCAGAAGCUCUGUGAUAACACCAGUGUAAGAGUAAGAUGUAAUCCUCAAUUAUCACUUCCACAUUAAAUAAAGUAAAGGAGUUAAACAAGCAUGCAUUUGGGCAUCCACCCUGUUCAAUCUCUACAUAAAUACCCUAGCUAAUAAUCUCGCCGAUCCAGCACUACAUUCCUCAACUAUUGCGGGCACAGCUAUCCCAAUCCUGCUGUAUGCAGAUGCUGCUGCUAUCAUCUCACAAACUCCUGUAGGCCUUAGGAGAGCGCUUAGGCUCUUGGCCACAUACUGCAAGGACAACCACUUGGUAAUUAACUUCCAGAAAUCCAAAGUGAUGUCUUUGCUGAGAGGCCUAAAAGAUUUAACCGGAGUAUAGAAGGCCAUUGUAUAGAGCAGGACAAUAGUUUUAAAUAUCUGGGUGAGGUUUUUCAUGCCACUGGGUCAUGGAAGGCCCAUGUGGACUACAUUGUCCAACAGCACAAAGAAGUGCUUCAACAACGUUAAGAUUCUUUCACUCCAAAGGUGGAGAGGUUAUCCCUGCAGCAUUAAAGUUAUUUGCUGCUAAAUUAUUGGCCCAACUUCUGUAUGGCGCACAACUGGGCCCCUACCUAUAGGCCGCUGGAGAUAAUCCAAUCCAAGUUUAUUAGAGCAGUAUUCAGGGCCCCUUGAUAUAUCUCCAACAUAGUGUUGAGGUUGGAAAUGGGCCUCCAGAGGGUGGAAACAAAAGCAUGGAUUUUAAUCCUCAGUUAUUGGCUUAGGAUACACUUCUACCCUCUGGGAUUUUAAUUUUAGCUCCAUCCUGGAGACCAUAUGAGGGCGCCUUGGUGACUUUAAAUGGGAACAUGCUAACCAUCUAUUGUCCCUCUCUUUACUGAGCCAUCACAGGGUUUUCCUCAGAGCAAGAUAUGAUGCCUUACCAUCAGCGGUUUUAUCAGGAAGGUUUUUGAAAACCCGUCUGGCUAGUCGGUUAUGCCCCUGUGGCUCAGCAGAGAUCAUGCUUAGAGCCCGGCACAGGUCACAGUCAUGCUCAGCUGUCCAGCACAGAGCAGGCCAGUGGCACGGCGACCACACCACCCAGGACAGACUAAAGAAGAUUUGGGGGUGUGGAGACCUGGACUUUGGCCUGGAAGUCCAGAGGUAAGAGCGCCUCUGUAGCCAAGUAUGGAAUGCUUAGAAGAAGGCAGGAAGCAGGUGGGGGCAAAUUACCUAAGUAAUUAGGAGUGAAGCAGUCAAAUUGGUGUUGGAGCACCAAGUUGUGGAGAGGAGCUGGGGCAGGGGGAAGGAUGGUGGAAGGACUGAGGAGAAGACAUCAGGAGAAAGAAACGGAGGAAGAGUGCAGCAGACGUUAAGGACAAGAAGCCGCAGAGACUGGAAGAACAGAGACUUAUCUGAGGAGGCAGCUCCUAUGAAUGAUUCUAAACACCAGAAGCCAAUACUGGAUGUGUCAGUCCUGACUGAAGCUUUGGGGAAGCUGGUUGGGACUGUGGGACAGGCCCCUUGUGAUUGCGUGGCUGUUAUUGUUUGUUUUCUUACAUAGUCUUUCUGUGACUGCUUUUUCACUUUCAUUUACUUCUUACUUCCCCCCAUACAUUCUGUUAAACGUA